rnacentral:lncRNA from 1 species
AAUUCAAUGAGAAACAAUAUUCAGGUCAGGUCAAAGCCUAGAGAAAAAUGCGCAUUCAGAAGUGGGCUGCCAUCCUGCUUUUUCUGAAGUGAACAGCUGCUGGGUAUUGAAACCAGCCCUCACGGUUGGGUCCCUGCCACCAUGGCAACACUCUGGUUUCUGAGCUGGAGUGGCCAAGGCACAAUGGGGUGGUUCCAUGGCCCAGAAGCACUCUAGCUACAGAUUAGAAUGAUGACAAGAGUAAUACCUUCCUAGUGAAGAUGACUUUUAUUUCAGGACUAUAUUAAGUUUCCCAACUUCUGUCAUGAUAUAGUCCAAAGAGAACCUGGACCACGCAGACAUCAAACAGAACAUGACACUGACCCAUUCUAUCAGUGACGUUGUGCUGAUUGCACAGGACAGAUGAGAGGCUCGUAUACUAGAAGUCUUGUUAUCCACAGAAGGAAUGAUCUGCAAUGUACACACGCCAGGACAGAAAUUCUACAGUUGCUGAUAAAAUGUAAACCUGCUGGAGUGCAGUUGCGCAAUCUUGGUUCACUGCAACCUCCAUAAAAAUGGCCAGUUUUAAACAUAGUCUCCAACUUUGUGAGCCCCAGAGGAUUCAGUCACAAGGAUUUAGCUUCUAUGGUGAGCAGAUGAGCUCAGAAAGCUGCUGCUGUUGAUUGUCUGGCCAUGGAAAGAGUUCUCAGUCAAAUGAAAGUCUCUGCCUUGGGAUUUAUUAAACACUUUUAUUCUUUGACUUUUCACACAAAUUUUGCAGCAUCAGGUAUCCCCUCCCCUUCUGCUGUCUGCCAUAGUGGAAACAGCCUGAGGCCCUUGCCAGAUAUAGAUGUUCAAACCUGGACUUUCCAGCCACCAGAAUCGUCAGCCAAAUAAACUUCUUUUCUUUCUAAAUCAUCCA